rnacentral:misc_RNA from 1 species
UAUACCGGCGACGAAUCCGCAAAUUCGUUCCCUCGGCCGGCCGAUACGCGUCCCGUGUGUGUCAUCCACCCUCUCUGUCCACCGCACGUUUUCUUCCACAACACUGUUUUUUCACGAACACGAUUCAGCGCCGAUAUAUUUAUGAUUGCUCUCUAAAAAGAGAGAAGAUACGGUUACGUGGAAAGUUGAGUCGCACUGUCAACCGUGGUGACGAUAAUGCUCAAUAUCAUCAAGAGCCUCAGGGGCAAACGUAGAAACGAGAGUGCCGGAAUACUGAAAAAUAUUUUCUUCCCGUGGUACUUCGACGAGAGCGUGCCGACUGGACGACAAUAAAAUCUCAUGCCAGUAGACACCACCGCCGCCGCCGUUGCAGCCGAGAUUUCCUCGCCGGGAAAAACACGCGCACACACACAGUCAAUCGUGUUCACAAGAACAAGAGAGAGACCCACGAACCUACCGGUGAAUGCUGUCUCAUACGCCGAAGAAUCCACCGUGUGAUAAUACGUUCGAUCGUAGUCGCUGAUAGUGAAAUCCUCCCGCACCAGGAUCUUGUCUCAAGAUUCCAAACAUCUCCUGUACACACACUCUCCGUCGGAUUCUUUCUCUCCUCGGGUUCCUCCCUGUCGUCUCUCUAUCUUUAUCUUUCUGUAGAAACAAAUCUUUUGCGCUUUCUUUCUUCCUUCCUUUCUUUCUUUCCGUUGCAAGGCUUUGCUCUCGUUUACUACGGAUCGAGUUGAAAUCAAUUCACACGAGUAACACCGAUCAACUCAAUGGCCCUUUGGAGAUGUCCUAGCAUCCUGGUACGGGCGUCGUUUCUACAGCACGUCGUUCGUCUCCGUAGAAUCAAAUAGACGAUUUCUCUGAUUCGAGUUAUUUGCUCGCGUCUUAAACGUCCGCGACAAAAGACCGAAAUAUAUACGCACGGUACGCGGCCUUUCGAAGAAACGAAAGAAUAUACGGAGCACUGGCUACACUUUUUUUUCCUUGCCUGUAAUUGUUAGACCCGUUCGCAAUACGCUUUCGAACA